rnacentral:rRNA from 1 species
GACGGAGGAUGCAAGCGUUAUCCGGAAUGACUGGGCGUAAAGCGUCCGCAGGCGGCUGUUCAAGUCUGCUGUCAAAGACCGGGGCUUAACUUCGGAAAGGCAGUGGAAACUGAACAGCUAGAGUAUGGUAGGGGCAGAGGGAAUUCCUGGUGUAGCGGUGAAAUGCGUAGAGAUCAGGAAGAACAUCGGUGGCGAAGGCGCUCUGCUGGACCAUAACUGACACUCAGGGACGAAAGCUAGGGGAGCGAAUGGG